rnacentral:rRNA from 1 species
AGUGAACGCUGGCGGUAGGCCUAACACAUGCAAGUCGAACGGCAGCACAGUAAGAGCUUGCUCUUACGGGUGGCGAGUGGCGGACGGGUGAGGAAUACAUCGGAAUCUACUUUUUCGUGGGGGAUAACGUAGGGAAACUUACGCUAAUACCGCAUACGACCUACGGGUGAAAGCAGGGGAUCUUCGGACCUUGCGCGAUUGAAUGAGCCGAUGUCGGAUUAGCUAGUUGGCGGGGUAAAGGCCCACCAAGGCGACGAUCCGUAGCUGGUCUGAGAGGAUGAUCAGCCACACUGGAACUGAGACACGGUCCAGACUCCUACGGGAGGCAGCAGUGGGGAAUAUUGGACAGUGGGCGCAAGCCUGAUCCAGCCAUACCGCGUGGGUGAAGAAGGCCUUCGGGUUGUAAAGCCCUUUUGUCGGGAAAGAAAAGCAGCAGGUUAAUACCCCGCUGUUCUGACGGUACCCAAAGAAUAAGCACCGGCUAACUUCGU